AUGCAGCCAUGCCGCGUGUAUGAAGAAGGCCUUCGGGUUGUAAAGUACUUUCAGUCGUGAGGAAGGUAGUGUAGUUAAUAGCUGCAUUAUUUGACGUUAGCGACAGAAGAAGCACCGGCUAACUCCGUGCCAGCAGCCGCGGUAAUACGGAGGGUGCGAGCGUUAAUCGGAAUUACUGGGCGUAAAGCGCAUGCAGGUGGUUUGUUAAGUCAGAUGUGAAAGCCCGGGGCUCAACCUCGGAAUAGCAUUUGAAACUGGCAGACUAGAGUACUGUAGAGGGGGGUAGAAUUUCAGGUGUAGCGGUGAAAUGCGUAGAGAUCUGAAGGAAUACCGGUGGCGAAGGCGGCCCCCUGGACAGAUACUGACACUCAGAUGCGAAAGCGUGGGGAGCAAACAGGAUUAGAUACCCUGGUAGUCCACGCCGUAAACGAUGUCUACUUGGAGGUUGUGGCCUUGAGCCGUGGCUUUCGGAGCUAACGCGUUAAGU
rnacentral:rRNA from 1 species